rnacentral:lncRNA from 1 species
AAUAAUAAAAUAUUCUUAUCACAACAACAAACCAUGUCGGUGUUAAUAAAUUGUAGACGUUGUAAAUUUUAAUAGACGACUAAGUUGUUAAAAUGACGUCGUUUAAAUGAGAAACCAUGACGGAUAUUUAACUAUCCGACGUAAAAUAUAUAUUCCACGACUUAACCGCUGUCGUUACAAAGUACUACCCUGAACCCUUAAGAAAUUGAAGACGUUGUAAACCAUAAACGACUCAAUUGUUC